GGAUCAUAGGAAGAAUUUCUUGGAGCCUCACUCAUGAGAUGGUUAUUUAAAUACCCUAUAGUUAAUU
rnacentral:sRNA from 1 species